rnacentral:rRNA from 1 species
GACAGAGGUGCCGAGCGUUAGGCGGAAUCACUGGGCUUAAAGCGUGUGUAGGCGGACCGUUAAGUGUCUUGUGAAAUCCCACGGCUCAACCGUGGAACGGCUGGGCAUACUGGCGGUCUUUGAGCGGUCCAGGGGCGAGCGGAACAAGCGGUGGAGCGGUGAAAUGCGUAGAUAUCGCUUGGAACGCCGACGGUGAAAACAGCUCGCUGGGGACCCGCUGACGCUGAGACACGAAAGCCAGGGAGCGAACGGG